AAAUGUUGUAGUGAACAUAAUCUUAUCAUUUCCUUGAAUCGCUCCCAAGCUUCGAAGAUUAAUUCACCAUGAAUUUGCUUGAAGCAAGUUAUCUAGUUCCUUAAUUA